rnacentral:rRNA from 1 species
UGGGGAAUAUUGCACAAUGGGCGCAAGCCUGAUGCAGCCAUGCCGCGUGUGUGAAGAAGGCCUUCGGGUUGUAAAGCACUUUCAGCGAGGAGGAAGGUGGUGAGCUUAAUACGCUCAUCAAUUGACGUUACUCGCAGAAGAAGCACCGGCUAACUCCGUGCCAGCAGCCGCGGUAAUACGGAGGGUGCAAGCGUUAAUCGGAAUUACUGGGCGUAAAGCGCACGCAGGCGGUUUGUUAAGUCAGAUGUGAAAUCCCCGGGGCUCAACCUGGGAACUGCAUUUGAAACUGGCAAGCUAGAGUCUCGUAGAGGGGGGUAGAAUUCCAGGUGUAGCGGUGAAAUGCGUAGAGAUCUGGAGGAAUACCGGUGGCGAAGGCGGCCCCCUGGACGAAGACUGACGCUCAGGUGCGAAAGCGUGGGGCAGCAAACAGGAUUAGAUACCCUGGUAGUCCACGCUGUAAACGAUGUCGAUUUUGGAGGUUGUGCCCUUGAGGCGUGGCUUCCGGAGCUAACGCGUUAAAGUCGACCGCCU